CUGAUGGUAAAAAUGACAGUGACCGAUUUGUACUAAUUUAAUUAGCUAAUUGCAUCAAAAUUUGCACCAUGAUACUGAUGCAUGCUAAUUGAGCAUAGAUUGAUGGAUGUGUUUGAUUUUGAGUAGAUUUGGUUCUUUAUUUAGAACCAGGGAGGACUUGAUUAGAAUUGUGAUUAUCUUUAUAACUGUGACUUGGUUUUUGACCAGAACUGGACUGCAGCACAAAUCAUAGAAAAUUGGAUAAUAUUGUUCAGAAAAUUGGAUUGGGCUGUGGCCGUAAGUGGAGAUGUUGUCCAUAGAGUACACUUAAUAGGCCAGCGGAGCUUAAAUCAAUGUAAUCAAUAAUGUUUUAUGGAGAAUAAGGUCAAUAGCAUAGCUUUAAUUACCAAGUAAAAAACAACAUUUCAUUGAAUAUAGUACAAGUGAUCAUUGUGUGUACAUUGUGAAAAUGGUUGCAGUAGUACAAAGUCAGACUUCCUUUUGUAGUAAUGGAUCUAAAUCGGCCGUUAACGUAUGUUAUAUCGACCAUUAAUUAAAAGAUAAAUAGCCAAGCUCAGUAUAAGUAUGAUAGCAGUAUUUUCUAGGAACAUUCUCUUGUGUUCAAAUAAUUUCUUCUCAUGAAAAUCAAUACUAAAUUUUAUAUUUACCGCCUCCAAUGAAAGGAAAUAUAGAUCCAGUGGAAUCACAUUUCAAUAUAUAGUGAUUGGAAUUUUACUGUUAAUGCAGAAAAUUUCUGGAGUUAUGUGUCAGAGGAGUAGUUUGGUAACAGUGGAACGAUCAGGCUGUUAUGAGUCAGAAACAUCAGUAGCCCUCGGCCUCUCCGAAUUGGAGGUAGGAAAGGUGAGGGCCAGGAAGGUCAAGGUCGCAAAGCAAAGGAACCAAAGGAUUGGUACCAUUACUGCCUGUAUAACUGUGGAUAUUUUCUCUGGCCAGUCUCUCCCACACAGUCAAUUGCCAAUGGUGACAGGACAGACCACUCUGAUGAAGGAAGUGGUGUAAGGGGAGCUUGUACAAGCACAAGAGAAAGGUCAAGAUCCCGUGAGAGAUCACAGGAAAGUGAUCGACAGGACAGAGGCA
rnacentral:lncRNA from 1 species